ensembl:lncRNA
UGACUGCUGGAAAUUCAGCUAUAAGUAUAAUAUAUUAAAACAGAAAGCAGCUGUUUUAAGUUGUAAUAAUAUUUCACAAUAUUACUGUUUUUACUGUAUGUUUGAUCAAAUAAAUGCAGCCUUGGUGAGCAUAAAAGACUACUUUCAACAACAUAAAAAAAAAAUCUUAUCAACCUAACAGCAGUGCAAAUAUAUAAAUAAUACAAAUGGAAAUACAAAUGUAAUUAAUUUUCAUUGUGGAAUUUAAUAUUUCUCAAAACUGAAAAAUGAUUUGAUUUUAUGUGACCUUAACAUAUUAUUUCCAAAUCUUUGCCACAUCCUGUUUUUAUGUUGUUGUAUUUGAUGGAUAUCUACGGCUAAGCACAAAGAUGGCUAACUGUGAGUCAUGCUAAACAAGAAAGACAUCCAAACCACGAAUGAAGAGAGUUUGAGGGACAUGCUUCAAAAUCCCAGAGUGAAUCUGCACAGGAGGAUUGUGACAGUAAAGACGACUCUGUGGUUAUGGGAGGCUCAUGGUGAAUAUGACGGCAGAGAGCAGUCCUGCCCUCACAUCUCCCUCUACAGCUGCUUUCAACCGGAAAGAUGAGAGCUGAAGUCUGACUGAAGUGACAGCACGUCUGGAAAAAGCACUUCUGUGUGUCCUUGAGCAGCCGGGAGAGAAAAGUCCCUUGAUGUCUGAGUAGGUGUCCAAGAACAGUAGGAGCUUGAUGUGGCUCCAGAAACUACCACGGAGUGUGCCAGUGGCUCAUGGUGCAGCACGAGCAUGACAUGACAAGAGCAAUUUAUCAAACUAUUACUCAUGUAAUGUGCUCUUAACUGGAAGCGGCAUGUGCAUACAUAUCGUCAUAAAUGUCUGGAGAGCGAGGACACCGUGCCUGCCAUCAUCACUGGAGGAGCAAGAAUAACUACCCUCAUCACUGACGAAUACAAGACAUUUAGAUUUAUGAGUCUGACUGAAGCUCUCUCAGGAAUACUGAUGUCUCUGUGGAAACGAAUGGACUUAAGCACGUGUGAACGCAUUCAUGCAUUGCCAUGUCUCACUGAUGGCUGAUGCCAUCCUUGUUUGCAUGUGAAAUGAGAAAAUGCAGGCCUGAGGACAAGAUUUUGUUGUCCCUGAUCAUCUUGACAUCCUACUGUAUCUGUAAUGGUGUGAUAAAGUAAGUGUUAUAUGUCCACACUGAUCUGAUUAUUAGGCUUUUUACAACAACAGUACGGCCCCUGCUAUGCAUCUGCUUUAUUGUAAUAAUGCGAGUCACAGUGGGAAGAAGUUUAGCUGAUUUAUUUCAUCUGAGAAGAGCUGAGGUGAUGUUUUCUCUAUGAUGGCAUAUAUCCCUAAUGUUAUUUUCCCCCAGUUGUCCUUCUGUUUCAAAACCAGUGAGCUCAAGAUGGCUCCUCUCUUACUGUGCGGCAUGAAGAACAUCUGCUGGAAUGUUCCCCGGCCUCAUAAAAAAAUUAAACACUUUCUAGAUGUUUUUCUUUAAGGGGUAUCAACAAAAAAAUUGGCAUUGACAGACACAUUGGCAAAUACUCAAACUGUACAGUAUAUUACAGCUACGGUUUCAAUCCACGCUGUUACAUUUUUAAAAGUCAGUAGUCUACAUCUGCUGUUCCACUUGAAAUCAUCUGUCAGUCAAUCACUUAACAAAACAAAAAUCUCAUUCAAUAUAGUAGAUAGAGAGAGAGAGAGAGAGAGAGAGAGAGAGAGAGAGAGAGAGAGAGAGAGAGAGAGAGAGAGAGAGAGAGAGAGAGAGAGAGAGAGAGAACAGCUUAAGGAAAUACUGAAAACAA